AGUUUGAUCAUGGCUCAGAUUGAACGCUGGCGGCAUGCCUUACACAUGCAAGUCGAACGGUAACAGGUCUUCGGAUGCUGACGAGUGGCGAACGGGUGAGUAAUACAUCGGAACGUGCCCGAUCGUGGGGGAUAACGAAGCGAAAGCUUUGCUAAUACCGCAUAAGAUCUACGGAUGAAAGCAGGGGACCGCAAGGCCUUGCGCGAACGGAGCGGCCGAUGGCAGAUUAGGUAGUUGGUGGGAUAAAAGCUUACCAAGCCGACGAUCUGUAGCUGGUCUGUAGAGGACGACCAGCCACACUGGGACUGAGACACGGCCCAGACUCCUACGGGAGGCAGCAGUGGGGAAUUUUGGACAAUGGGCGAAAGCCUGAUCCAGCCAUGCCGCGUGCAGGAUGAAGGCCUUGGG
rnacentral:rRNA from 1 species